rnacentral:rRNA from 1 species
CUACGGGAGGCUGCAGUGGGGAAUAUUGGGCAAUGGGCGCAAGCCUGACCCAGCAACGCCGCGUGAAGGGAGAAGGCUUUCGGGUUGUAAACUUCUUUUAAGGGGGAAGAGCAGAAGACGGUACCCCUUGAAUAAGCCACGGCUAACUACGUGCCAGCAGCCGCGGUAAUACGUAGGUGGCAAGCGUUGUCCGGAUUUACUGGGUGUAAAGGGCGUGCAGCCGGAGAGACAAGUCAGAUGUGAAAUCCACGGGCUCAACCCGUGAACUGCAUUUGAAACUGUUUCCCUUGAAUGUCGGAGAGGUAAUCGGAAUUCCUUGUGUAGCGGUGAAAUGCGUAGAUAUAAGGAAGAACACCAGUGGCGAAGGCGGAUUACUGGACGAUAACUGACGCUGAGGCACGAAGGCCAGGGGAGCGAAAGGGAUUAGAUACCCCUGUAGUC